GCCAAAGUAGCUCAGUUAGGAGAGCAUUAGAGUGAAGAUCUAAAGGUCCCUGGUUCAAUACCAGGCUUUGGCA